CAGUCGCCACGGUAAUACGGAGGGGGCUAGCGUUGUUCGGAAUUACUGGGCGUAAAGCGCACGUAGGCGGACUGGAAAGUCAGAGGUGAAAUCCCAGGGCUCAACCUUGGAACUGCCUUUGAAACUAUCAGUCUGGAGUUCGAGAGAGGUGAGUGGAAUUCCGAGUGUAGAGGUGAAAUUCGUAGAUAUUCGGAGGAACACCAGUGGCGAAGGCGGCUCACUGGCUCGAUACUGACGCUGAGGUGCGAAAGCGUGGGGAGCAAACAGGAUUAGAUACCCGCGUAGUCCCUGUCUCUUAUAC
rnacentral:rRNA from 1 species